GUUAUCAUAGCUUACCUUCAAGCAUAGCACUGAAAAUGCUAAGACGGCCCUACCUGAUAACA
rnacentral:tRNA from 1 species